ACGGAGGGUGCGAGCGUUGUCCGGAAUCAUUGGGCGUAAAGGGCGCGUAGGCGGUUCGUACAGUCAGACGUGAAAUCCCCGGGCUCAACCUGGGAAUGGCGAUGGAUACUGGAAAGCUGGAGUGCGGUAGAGGGUAGUGGAAUUCCCGGUGUAGCAGUGAAAUGCGUAGAGAUCGGGAGGAACACCAGUGGCGAAGGCGGCUACCUGGACCAGCACUGACACUGAGGCACGAAAGCGUGGGGAGCAAACAGGA
rnacentral:rRNA from 1 species